GCCAGAAUAGAAGAAAGUUAGUCAUUUUUACUUUUUGUCUAAUCUUUAGCAUCUCAAAAAAGGCCGUAGAUCCUCAGCAACAGAAAGUAGGGGGAAGAUGGUCAAGCUCAUACUGUCAGAAAUAUUAAGAUGUCUUUGUUUAUAGAAAUCAGGGUAGAAUCUGCAAUCAACCCCCAGGGGAAAAAGGGUAUACCUCUAGGUUAUUAACAAACACUGCAUGGAAUAAGCUCAAAAUUCAAGGUGCCCUGCCUGUGGCAAUGGAGCUUUAGUCUCUUGCAGGGUCCAAGUCCACACCAGCAUCUACAGGAGACUUGGCUUCCUCCCCAACUGUUCUCUUCCUCCAAGGCAUGCAAUUCACACACACACAGUACAGGGGCUCCAAGGGCUCUGACGGGCCUCCAUCAGACUCCCAGACUUGCAGAAGUGAAAGAGAAGGCAGGAGGCAUCCUUAUCUACAGAAGCUGAGAUGCAAGUAAAUCUUUUGGGGCACUCAGAGAACUUAUGGGACAAAAAGAUCUCUACUCUUUCAAGCGGAGGCUUUGUCCCCAAGAUGGAGGGUAUAGAAGAGUGGAAAAGUCAUGUCCAGAAGGGGUGGGGAGGCAUCAAAACAGAGACCCUAUGCUGUCCCAGAUAAAAGUUCAAAAGCAGUGCUAUUCAGGAUAUGGCCCGUAAACUGCUUAACACCAAUCCACCACAACAUAAAUACAGGAACCAAGAGGAAGCCUUUAGGAACCUUUAUAGCAAUUUAAAGCUACCAUGACAUCCAAGGGCAUGAUCACUUGGCUCGCCUCACUGAAUGGCUCACAGACCACUUUGGAUGGUGCUGAGCCACACGUGCAGCAGCUGCAAACUCGCUGUACAAAGUAAGUGGGACCACGUUUUAGUUUUGCAAUCUUUUGGGAACACUGAAAAACAAAAAACAAACAAACAAAAAAACUGGUCCUUCCCCAGAUUUAGUCUGAGAAAAACUUAACUUUGGAAGGCAAUCCCCUCACUUUACCCAGAAAGCUGAAGUCCAAAGACAGUAAGUGACCUCCCCAUGGCUAAUGACAGAACCCAGGAGUAGGAGUAGAGUAGAAAACAGAGUGGAAGGAAACUAACAACUGCACUUCUCACCCUCCUCCUCUCAGUCAGUGGGUCUCACUGAAGCCCCCUGAAGCAGUAAGGGCUGCGGGGCCCACACUCUAAAUGAGUCUAAGGCAAUUUCAGGUUCAUGGUAGAUUGCUCAGGCACAGUAUUUCCAUCCAGCUUUCAGAAUCUCAAAUCCGAAACAUCUAAUGCCAACAUGUGCCUUUCAAAACUAAGCUCCCUUCCCAGCUAGCCCAUUUCUGACCCCACUGCCCUCCUCUGUCAUUGCUAGAUCCGGGAAACAAUGACUUAAUUGAAAACAAACUUGGCAUGUUGAGUCAACCUUCGAAGUCCCUUGAGGUUCUCUGAGCCAGAGAGAAAGCAAAUGUAAAGUGCUGGGUGCAUCUGGGGUGAGGAUUCUGUCUGCCAUGUGCAAGUUCACAGCCCCAAACACAACGCUGAAGUCAAAAGCAUUCAAUAUACAAAACACAAAAGCUUCCAGUGCUGGCUUUCCCACUCAAGAGUUAUAAUUUCAGGUAAUAGUUUAGUCAAUGUCUCUUACUUCCAAUGGUUUUGUGAGAAUCAAAUAAUAAUGAUUUCUCUUAUUUUUCAGGACCUAAUGCUGUACCUAGAACAUGAUAAAUACUUGGUGGAUGUUGAAAGACAAAGGGAAGAAGAAAGGGGGAGAAAAUAGAUAGAGAUGGGGGUAAUAGUCCUAGAGAAUACACUAAUCUACAGAUUUUAAUCCUCCAAGUUUUCCCUGCCUUCUAUUUGCCUAAAGGCUUCCUAAUGUAUCUCCUUCUCUGAAGCUGUAGAGACGCUGAGAACAAGGGGGAGUCCUCAGCUAACUGCCAGAUGCCCGGGUGUGAGAGGAAAUGAGGCCGAAAGCCCAAGAGGUCAAGGGUAGGAAAGAGGACUUAAGAGGAUUGUGAGACCCAAAAGCUGAGCCAAACCGUAGCCCCUCCCAUACUCCCUGCCCCCACCCCCAUCCAGCCAAACCAUUUGCUGCAGCCUCCGGGGUAUGGGAGGGGACUUGGCAAGACCACAAAGCCCAUUUCUAGCAGAAACCUCCAUCUGCAGCUGGAGGGAGCCCAGUGCCCAGGCCCCUCCUCACCAGGCCCAGCAAAAGGGCUGUAGUCGUCCCCACGGUGGUCCCUGAGGGCAGGUCCAGGGCCCCUGCACCACUGUGGACAGGAGGGCUCUCCCUUCAGCUCACUCAUGUGUAUGUCUUGCAAGGCUCUCUCCCUCUCCCAUGACAUUCAAAAAGGGUGAGGGUCACCAAGGAGAUGGAGCUGAGCUCUGGGACUCUAACUCCAGUUCUUAUCAUGGAUGGGGAAAGCCCCCUCUUUCUCUCCAUCCUCAAACUCAACUCUGAAAAUCUCUUGCUUAGUUCCUUCACUUCUCUAGUUUGACAUGCUCACCUGCUUCCAUAUCUUCCCAAGCUGGCUGCUGCUUAUAAACAUACCCGAGAGAGAAGUGGCUGGAAGUAGGAAGAGCAGGCAAGAAACAAGUAGUGGGAAGGACCCAGAGUGUAUAGAAAGUCGAGGAUCACAGGUCCU
rnacentral:lncRNA from 1 species